AGUGAACGCUGGCGUUAGUCCUAACACAUGCCAGUCGAACGGCAGCACAUUAAGAGCUUGCUCUUACGGGUGGCGAGUGGCGGACGGGUGAGGAAUACAUCGGAAUCUACUUUUUCGUGGGGGAUAACUUAGGGAAACUUACGCUAAUACCGCAUACGACCUACGGGUGAAAGCAGGGGAUCUUCGGCCCUUGCGCGAUUGAAUGAGCCUAUGUCGGAUUAGCUAGUUUGCGGGGUAAAGGCCCACCAAGGCGACGAUCCGUAGCUGGUCUGAGAGGAUGAUCAGCCACAGUGGAACUGAAACACGGCCCAGACGCCGAAGGGAGGCAGCAGUGGGGAAUAUGGGACAAUGGGGGCAAGCGGGAUCCAGCCAUACCGAGUGGGUGAAGAAGGCCUUCGGGUUGUAAAGUCAUUUGGUUGGGAAAGAAAAGCAGCAGGUUAAUACCCCGCUGUUCUGACGGUACCCAAAGAAGAAGCACCGGCUAAAUUCGU
rnacentral:rRNA from 1 species